rnacentral:rRNA from 1 species
UACGUAGGGUGGAAGCGUUAAUCGGAAUUACUGGGCGUAAAGCGUGCGCAGGCGGUUUUGUAAGUCUGUCGUGAAAGCCCCGGGCUCAACCUGGGAAUUGCGAUGGAGACUGCAAGGCUUGAAUCUGGCAGAGGGGGGUAGAAUUCCACGUGUAGCAGUGAAAUGCGUAGAGAUGUGGAGGAACACCGAUGGCGAAGGCAGCCCCCUGGGUCAAGAUUGACGCUCAUGCACGAAAGCGUGGGGAGCAAACAGG